CCUACGGGUGGCUGCAGUGAGGAAUAUUGGUCAAUGGGCGUAAGUCUGAACCAGCCAAGUCGCGUGCGGGAUGACGGUCCUAUGGAUCGUAAACUUCUUUUAUACGGGGAUAAACUGCGGGACGUGUCCCUUUUUGCAUGUACCUUAUGAAUAAGGAUCGGCUAACUCCGUGCCAGCAGCCGCGGUAAUACGGAGGGUCCGAGCGUUAUCCGGAUUUAUUGGGUUUAAAGGGUGCGUAGGCGGGCUGUUAAGGUAGCGGUAAAAGCCCGGGGCUCAACCCCGGCGGGCCGUUGAAACUGGCUGUCUUGAGAGGUCGGAAGGUAUGCGGAAUGCGCGGUGUAGCGGUGAAAUGCUUAGAUAUCGCGAAGAACUCCGAUUGCGAAGGCAGCAUACGGGCGGCGUUCUGACGCUGAGGCACGAAGGCGUGGGUAUCGAACAGGAUUAGAUACCCCGGUAGUC
rnacentral:rRNA from 1 species